CAACUUUCAACAACGGAUCUCUUGGCUCUCGCAUCGAUGAAGAACGCAGCGAAAUGCGAUAAGUAAUGUGAAUUGCAGAUUUUCAGUGAAUCAUCGAAUCUUUGAACGCACCUUGCGCCCCUUGGUAUUCCGAGGGGCAUGCCUGUUUGAGUGUCAUUAA
rnacentral:rRNA from 1 species